rnacentral:rRNA from 1 species
UGCUCGAGUGGCGAACGGGCGAGUAACACGUGGGUGAUCUGCCCUGCACUUCGGGAUAAGCUUGGGAAACUGGGUCUAAUACCGGAUAGGACCAUCGUUUAGUGUCGGUGGUGGAAAGUUUUUUCGGUGUGGGAUGAGCUCGCGGCCUAUCAGCUUGUUGGUGGGGUAAUGGCCUACCAAGGCGUCGACGGGUAGCCGGCCUGAGAGGGUGUACGUCCACAUUGGGACUGAGAUACGGCCCAG